AGGGAGGUAUGGCGGGGAACCGGCGCAGAGGUGAGCGGUCGGCGUAUCUGCCGCGGGGUCCGCGUCUCCGCUGAGCUGGGUCCCGUUCCGAGCUCGCGCUCAGCUUUCUCGACGUCGUCUAAAAAAACCCAGCAGGGUGGUUCGCGGAGCUGCGGUGGGGAUGUGUGUGGGAGGGAGAGAGACACGCCCGGAGUAAGGCUGAAGGAAAGAUCAUGCAGUAGGUGAUUUCCACAUCCGUGGUGGCCCGUGUCGCUUAAGGGGUGUGACGCGAGGGCCUGUACGGAAGCAGACGGUGUGAAUCGGGGACUCCCGCUUGAGGCAGCGGCACCUGUUGCAUGAAUUUGAAGACGGAAACGCACGGCAGGUCCUUUUAAAGCUUCCUAAAUCCGCCGGGAACGUCGUUUGGUGUCGGAGGAGGAACAGCCGUCUGGGUCGUCGCCCUUGGUUCAGUUUAAGUCGAAGCAUAGUGAGAGGGGGCGGGCGGAAAGUCCCCGAGCUCGUCAGUGACAGAGCCACGACCAGGAGCGAGAUUUCUUCGUCUCCAGGCCAUCAUGUUGUCCUCCACAUCGGAACGGCUUUUUUGGAUCGCUAAGCCGUCUUUUUAAGGGAGUGAAGACGGGGAUUGACCUUUCUGUGCAGAAUGAAUCCAAGAAAGGCAAAGUCGAGGCCUGAGUUUCACGGAUGCGAGUUCCCCCUGCCAGACUGCCAGCUAACUACUUACGGUCCGAGCUCUCGCUGUGAGGACUUGCUGUCACAGCCCGUGGAAAUGCUUACCUCGGAAGCCGUCUGAAUCAGACCAGCCACCGUGAGCCUGUAAGCUCACCCCAAGUCCAGGUAAAUGAGCUCUGCAGACCUCAUCGCGUCCGUGUUCUGAUGGUUUGGAGGGGAGGGGCUACAGUUCCUGCCUCUGGUUUGCGUGCAGCCGAGUGGAGCCGACACAGGUUGCGGGUUGCAAUAUGCCACUCAAAAAGAGAUUUAUCAGCGGGGUUGCAGGUGAACAUGGCCUUGAGGUAAAUCCUGCCCCUUAUUAAAAUUUAGUUUCAGCAGAUUAUUCGUGAUAUUUUAGGAACUGGAAUAUUUUACAGAUAAAAAAAAGUUUUGUUUGGUUCUUUUCUAGACUUAAUUUUUUCUUCUUGCAGAAGAAACACGUUUAAACCAAAGUUUUUUACACUGAGUAAUUAUGAUGCUUUAAGUUGUUCAUAUGCCUUGUGUAAAUUAAGUGAAUUUUAAAUGUCAGUGCUCAGUGCCAAUUUUAGUUGUUUUUUCCUUGAUCAAAUAAAAAUUUCACUCAGACCUUAUAUAGGUGUCAAGUUUUUAUCAUUUAUACAUGUCCGUAUUACACG